ACUGGCGGCAGCAGCAGAGAGUAGUGCGCCACUUUCCCGCCCAGACAGAGUAACCGCCUCACGUAGCUAGUUAUGUGAGGUAACUUCGUACCGGGGGACCCACCAAUAAUAAUAAUAAUAAUGUGUAAUAUAUUUAUGUAGGCAUGCAAGAUAUUAUGCCACCUGUGUAUGUUGUAAGUACAAAUCAGUUAUCACGGUCAGCGCACACAUGCAGCAGCCCCUGUCCUUCCGUGCAAAAGACCUGGCUGAAAUGUUGAUCAAGGAUAUCCUGGAGCUAGAAAAGGUUCAGAGGCGGGCGACCAAACUAAUCAAGAGCAUGGAGACGCUGGAAUACGAGGAAAGGCUUGCAAGGCUAGGCCCUCCUACUUCUAUGUCCGUUAUUACCCAGUUUUGUUUUAUCGCUGUUAUUUCCAGUUGAUAAGUGCAACGAAAAUUGCUGCGCUAUAUGUAAAACUGUUAAUAAACAAGGUCCUAAUAGGGCUGCUUUAUUUUAUUUUUUAUUA